GGAGCACUAGCUCAGCCGGUAGAGCACCUGACUUUUAAUCAGGUUGUCAGGGGUUCGAAUCCCCUGUGCUUCA
rnacentral:tRNA from 1 species